UACAGAGGUCCCAAGCGUUGUUCGGAUUCACUGGGCGUAAAGGGUGCGUAGGUGGCGAGGUAAGUCGGAUGUGAAAUCUCGGAGCUCAACUCCGAAACUGCAUUGGAAACUACCUUGCUCGAGGGUUGGAGGGGGACUGGAAUUCAUGGUGUAGCAGUGAAAUGCGUAGAGAUCAUAAGGAAGACCAGUGGCGAAGGCGGGUCUCUGGACAGUUCCUGACACUGAGACACGAAGGCCAGGGGAGCAAACGGG
rnacentral:rRNA from 1 species